UGGUUCUGGCAUCGAUGAAGAACGCAGCGAAAUGCGGUAAGUAAUGUGAAUUGCAGAAUUCAGUGAAUCAUCGAAUCUUUGAACGCACAUUGCGCCCGCCAGUAUUCUGGCGGGCAUGCCUGUCCGAGCGUCAUUUCAACCCUCGAACCCCUCCGGGGGAUCGGCGUUGGGGAUCGGGACCCCUCACCGGGUGCCGGCCCUGAAAUACAGUGGCGGUCUCGCCGCAGCCUCUCCUGCGCAGUAGUUUGCACAACUCGCACCGGGAGCGCGGCGCGUCCACGUCCGUAAAACACCCAACUUCUGAAAUGUUGACCUCGGAUCAGGUAGGAAUACCCGCUGA
rnacentral:misc_RNA from 1 species